GGAAGGAUCAUUACCUAGAGUUGUAGGCUUUGCCUGCUAUCUCUUACCCAUGUCUUUUGAGUACCUUCGUUUCCUCGGCGGGUCCGCCCGCCGAUUGGACAAUUUAAACCAUUUGCAGUUGCAAUCAGCGUCUGAAAAAACUUAAUAGUUACAACUUUCAACAACGGAUCUCUUGGUUCUGGCAUCGAUGAAGAACGCAGCGAAAUGCGAUAAGUAGUGUGAAUUGCAGAAUUCAGUGAAUCAUCGAAUCUUUGAACGCACAUUGCGCCCCUUGGUAUUCCAUGGGGCAUGCCUGUUCGAGCGUCAUUUGUACCUUCAAGCUCUGCUUGGUGUUGGGUGUUUGUCUCGCCUCUGCGCGUAGACUCGCCUCAAAACAAUUGGCAGCCGGCGUAUUGAUUUCGGAGCGCAGUACAUCUCGCGCUUUGCACUCAUAACGACGACGUCCAAAAGUACAUUUUUACACUCUUGACCUCGGAUCAGGUAGGGAUACCCGCUGAACUU
rnacentral:sRNA from 1 species